rnacentral:rRNA from 1 species
GCUCAGGACGAACGCUGGCGGCGCGCCUAACACAUGCAAGUCGAACGAGCGAGAGAGAGCUUGCUUUCUCGAGCGAGUGGCGAACGGGUGAGUAACGCGUGAGGAAUCUGCCUCAAAGAGGGGGACAACAGUUGGAAACGACUGCUAAUACCGCAUAAGCCCACGGUGCCGCAUGGCACAGAGGGAAAAGGAGUAAUCCGCUUUGAGAUGGCCUCGCGUCCGAUUAGCUAGUUGGUGAGGUAACGGCCCACCAAGGCGACGAUCGGUAGCCGGACUGAGAGGUUGAACGGCCACAUUGGGACUGAGACACGGCCCAGACUCCUACGGGAGGCAGCAGUA